CCGGCGCACGGGUGAGUAACACGUAUGCAAUCCACCUGUAACAGGGGGAUAACCCGGAGAAAUCCGGACUAAUACCCCAUAAUAUGGGCGCUCCGCAUGGAGAGUUCAUUAAAGAGAGCAAUUUUGGUUACAGACGAGCAUGCGCUCCAUUAGCCAGUUGGCGGGGUAACGGCCCACCAAGGCGACGAUGGAUAGGGGUUCUGAGAGGAAGGUCCCCCACAUUGGUACUGAGACACGGACCAA
rnacentral:rRNA from 1 species